GACGAACCGUGCGAACGUUGUUCGGAAUCACUGGGUUUAAAGGGCGCGUAGGCGGGCUGUCAAGUCGGUGGUGAAAUCGUUCCGCUCAACGGGACAAUGGCCUUCGAUACUGGCGGCCUGGAGGGAGGUAGGGGCAUGCGGAACUUCCGGUGGAGCGGUGAAAUGCGUAGAUAUCAGGAGGAACACCUGUGGCGAAAGCGGCUCACUGGACCAUAACUGACGCUGAUGCACGAAAGCUAGGGGAGCAAACAGG
rnacentral:rRNA from 1 species